AUCCGAGAAAAAUAAAAACAAAAUCAAGGAAAAUAAUAAUAAAAAAAAUCGAGAGAAAAAAAAACGUAGAACAAAACCUAGAAACCUCCAUCUCUCGCCUCUUUCCUUCUCUUGAUUUCUCAUUGUGUUAUUGAUUAACAAGAUCAAAGAAGUAAGGCACAUAUACGUAGCAACAGGGUUUUGAUGAUGUCUUGAGAACAAAACCUAAAAACCCUCCAUCUCUCGCCUCUUUCCUUUUCUUGAUUUCUCAUUGUGUUAUUGAUUAACAGGAUCCAAGAAGUAAGGCACAUAUACGUAACAACAGGGUUUUGAUGAUGUCUUGAGAAAUAAAUAUAUUAAUUAGGGUUCAUAUAUUUAGAAAAAAUACAGCCGAAACCCUAAAACCAAACCAUUGAUCUCUUAUUAUUUCAUCUCAAAAUCCCGCGUCUUUGAUCCGACUCAUGUUUUGAAUGCCUGUUUUUGAUUGGUUUUAAUCUCUCUGUUCUUCAUGUCCAUUAUUACGUCUCUGUAGGGUUUUUCUUUUUGAGUUUCAUUCUACAGGGAAGGUUGCAGUUGCAGUGAAGUUGGGUUUUAGGGAGAAAAGCCUGAAACAAAUACGUAAUCCAGAUCAGCAUUUUGGAGGGUGUAUGAAUGGAAGUUCAUGAAUUGCGUUUAGUUUUGGACAAGUGUUGUCUGUGCAUACAGUUCUGGACCUGACUUCCGGCCCUUGGCUUAUCCCUUUGCUCAAUCACAUUGCUGCUUCUUUGGGCGCAUGUUGUUGCAGUUGCGAAAAGGGUGGUCGCUAUCUUUUUCACUGGCAACAGGGUUUUGAUGAUGUCUCGAGAAAUCAACCUGGUAUAUAGUUUUGGAUGAAUCAGAUGUUGACGCUCCAUCAACGAUCAACAACGCUGAGGCUGACAGGUUUGUGCUGUAUGCAACAGUGAGGUCUAUGAAAGUCUUCCCUGACACUUUAUUUAAUUUCUCGAGAAUAUCCUGCUCAUUGUGAAAAUGUAAAAGAAAUGAUCUGGGUCAAGAGAAUCAGAAUUAUGCGGAUCCAUGCACAAUUCUACAUUAGCAGAUCAGUUUAGCAACCACACAACAACAUUUCCGUUUUGAUCUAAAUGCACCCACCUUCUCCGUGUAUAUGCUCUAGGACUUGACCAAUGAAUAUUGGCGCCGAAAUGGACUGUGCCCAAGCGUUCCGCACGGAUACGUUAAAUAUGUGUCUGGAGUCCACAAAAUACCACAGUUUCUUGCGGCAUCUCUUCAAUAAGACUGCUAAACAGCAUAGGCCCAACUGCUAAACUAAGGAAAAAGUAACCAAAUAUACUUUGGCUUCCCCAAAUUUGCUUUGUUUUGCGCAGAGCAUAUAUGAAAACACUGUUGUAGUGUUUCAAUCGAGUAAAAAUGGUGAUCUCACUCUCUGCUGCAUAAGGUUCACGGAUAGCUUCCAGGAGGUAUACGAAGCUAACUAGAAGGAUAAGUUCUAAGAUAAUUCCAUAUGGUUAGUACACAUGUAACAUCUUUGAUGCACAACUCCAUUAAACUUAUCCUCUAAUAGUAGCUGAUGGAAAAUCUGAGUUUUAUGUAUGAGCAUCGUCUAAUCGAUGACAUGGUGGCAUAUGCACUAAAAAGCGAAGGUGGAUAUGUGUGGACUUGCAGAAAUUACGAUGGAGAUGUCCAUAGUGAUUUCCUCGCUCAAGGUACUGCCCAGGAAUUGGUGCGUGUGCAUAUAAGGUGGUACAAUUGAAUUGUGGACAUAAAACCUUAUAUGGGUGAAAUCUAUUACCAAUAACCUUGAACUUUCAAAUGGCAUGGCAGUCCCUGCUAUUGGUAAUUAUAUAAUAACAUAAUAAAGGUGGAGAUUUAAGAGUACUUGCAGAAUGUUGUGAGAGGGAGAAAUGCUUUAGCAUAUGGCACAUACAAGUAUUAUUAUAAGAAAACGGGUAAAUCAAGAAGAAGCAGCCAACCAGUGAACAUUCUGUGUGCCUAAUUUGCGAGGGUGACUAUGAAUUACACUAUAGAAAAAAAGGGUUCUAAUAGAUGUGGAUUUUGGUAUUCAUGCAUCUUCCAAUGAUGUUGAUGUUUCCACCGUGUCAAUGACGACGAGUACAUCCCAUUUACUGUUAUAAAUAAGAGAUAAGGAUUCCCCAUGUACAAGUUCUGUCGACUAUUGUCACUCGGAAGAAUAUGCAAGCAUGGAUAUUGAUUCAAAUGAUGCAGGACAAAAAGAAGAUGAAGAUGAUGAAGAAGAAGAGAAUCAAGUAGAAGUAUCACUGAUUCAACUGUAAUAGAAGAGAACAAAGAAAUAUAUUUGAUAUGAAUAUAACAAGCAAUUGAGGUGCUCACUGCUCAUA